rnacentral:rRNA from 1 species
CAGAGACUGCAAGCGUUAUUCGGAUUCACUGGGCGUAAAGGGUGCGCAGGCGGUCGUGCGUGUCAGAUGUGAAAUCCCGGAGCUUAACUCCGGAACUGCGUCUGAAACUACAUGACUAGAGCAUUGGAGAGGGAAGUGGAAUUCAUGGUGUAGCAGUGAAAUGCGUAGAUAUCAUGAGGAACACCAGAGGCGAAGGCGACUUCCUGGACAAUUGCUGACGCUCAGGCACGAAAGCAUGGGGAGCAAAAGGGAUUAGAUACCCCUGUAGUCCAUGCCCUAAACGGUGCACACUAGGUCUUGGAGGAUUCGACCCCUUCAGGGCCCCAGCUAACGCGUUAAGUGUGCCGCCUGAGGACUACGGUCGCAAGACUA